GAAUAAAGAAAAUGUUUCGUUAGGACAAGAGCCCCCUGAUAUUAACCCUUUGACCCUUUCUAGGAAUGCUCAUCAUGCUUCAUUUGCCCAGUGUUGUGUGACACAAUUUGCACAGCAGGUGGCCUUGUUGAUGAGCUAACUGGGAGCCUCUACCAGACUGUGGCCUCUCUGCUCUGAGCGUCCCGUAGACUGCGCCCUUUGGAGCCCCCCUGUGGCCGCGUGAGGUACUGCGCGGUGAAAUAGCGCCGUCACGCGCAACACACGCGCGCUCCCGCAAGGGCCCGUCAUGGAUGUGACGUCUGACAGAAACGCACAAAAGGUUAGGUUAGGUCAGGUUUUAACUCGUGUUUAGAUUUUUAACGUAUCUUGUAACAGGAGCGGAAAAGUCUAUUCGCUUUUCCUUUAUUUAAUUAUAAUAACUGGCCAAGGCCAUUUGUAAUUUGUUAAGAUUCUUUUUUUUUUGUUUUUCGUGUAACUCAGCCCACUGAUUCUUUUAAAGAUUUAACACAAUAACACUUUGUUCAAUGUCCCCAAAUCUCAUCUGGUGAUGCUGCAGCCAACAUAAGAUCAGGUUAUCUCUGUCAUGAAUUCGCUUCCAACGAACUGCUUUUGCUAAGUUUACUUUUAGUUUUCUAUUUCACAUUGCUUACUGACUUCUACAGUAAUACUAUAUUUAUUUGUGUGCAUUUGCUCAUGAUUGGAGUUCAUUAAACAGCAGUUGAAAUAACAAUGAUUUGGUAAAUAUUCCAGUAGAACAUGACAGUUUUAACUGUGCAUAUAAAGUUUUACGCUUCACUCUGGGAUUUACAUUUCGUAAAGUCAGAAUAACUCAUGAUAAUAUCAUUAUAAAAUGGGGUUUAGACUCGUAGUCCCUAGUAUGAAUACUUACUAUGAAUACAUUUUAGAAUAGUAAAAUGAAGUAACAUGUAUCACUGUUUCUUGAAUAAAUCAUUUCUGUUCC
ensembl:lncRNA